rnacentral:rRNA from 1 species
AUUGAACGCUGGCGGCAUGCCUUACACAUGCAAGUCGAACGGCAGCACGGGAGCAAUCCUGGUGGCGAGUGGCGAACGGGUGAGUAAUAUAUCGGAACGUGCCCAGUCGUGGGGAUAACGUAGCGAAAGCUACGCUAAUACCGCAUACGAUCUAUGGAUGAAAGCGGGGGGAUCGCAAGACCUCGCGCGAUUGGAGCGGCCGAUAUCAGAUUAGGUAGUUGGUGUGGUAAAGGCUCACCAAGCCGACGAUCUGUAGCUGGUCUGAGAGGACGACCAGCCACACUGGGACUGAGACACGGCCCAGACUCCUACGGAGGCAGCAGUGAGGAAUAUUGGUCAAUGGGCGCAAGCCUGAACCAGCCAUGCCGCGUGC